CAGUCCUGGACUCUGAGGUUCUCCCACUCAGUAAUCAGUACUGCAGCACUGCACAGACAACUCACCAUGGACAUCAGGCUCAGCUUGACUUUCCUUGUCCUUUUCAUAAAAGGUGUCCAGUGUGAGGUGCAGCUGGUGGAGUCUGGGGGAGGCCUAGUGCAGCCUGGAAGGUCCCUGAAACUCUCCUGUGCAGCCUCAGGAUUCACUUUCAGUAGCUUUGCAAUGGCCUGGGUGCGCCAGGCUCCAAAGAAGGGUCUGGAGUGGGUUGCAACCAUUACUUCUGGUGGUAGUAACACUUACUAUCCAGACUCCGUGAAAGGCCGAUUCACUAUCUCCAGAGAUAAUGCAAAAAGCACCCUAUAGCUG